rnacentral:snoRNA from 2 species
GCCCCAUCAGGGUUGCACCUGGAGAGUUUCCAGUACUCUACCAGUCUCAACUACAGGAGGGAGAGUCAAGCAGGGACAUAUCCAUUCCAUUCCUAGCUUGGGCAGUGGCUAGAGAUUGGAAAGCAACCUGUUACAAGU